UUUUCCUUGAAGUAGAUUACCUAAAUAUUUGUCAAUAUACCCACAGGGAUGUUGUAUUGGUGAAAUACAACUUAUCAGUAUGCUAUGAUUCAUGUAGUAGCUGCACCUGUAAUUAAAUAAAAUUUAAUUGAAGAAUUAUUGUAAUUAAAAUCGAAUUCAAAUUAAUUAUAAUAUAAGUACACCAUAAAUUAUAUUUAUGUACUUACUGCAAAAUUAAAUGAGAAUAAUUGUGAAAACAAUUCUUUAACAACACCACACUGAAGUGCAAUACUGUAAGUAAAAAUUAAAGACAUACUUACCUAUACAUUACAAUCACCAUUUCCAGAAAAAAUUUAAUUAAUAGGUAAACUGUUUUAACUUAAGACAAAUUUCAACUAUUUUUGAAUUUGUAAAAUGGGGAUUAUAGUAUAUUAACAUCCAUUUUUAGGGUUAUUCAUGGCACAUUUUAACUGAUAUUGGUGUGUGUCAGGAUGGCGGGUAUACAUGCUUUAUUUAAAUACUAGGUGUGAGUGAAAAUCCUUUCCCGCUUCGAAAGUCCCUAAAACACUGUAGUGAUUCAUAGCGCCAUCUAUACGAUACCAUGAUCAUCUAUUUAAAAAUCAGAUUAAAAGAUACAUUAUUUCCCAUACGAGAAAAUGAUCAGAGAAUAAAAAGCUUAUGUGUUAAUCCAGGACUGGCCUAUCCAUGUACUAAAUUUCAUCCAAAUCCAUUCAGCUGUUUCUGCAUUUACUUCUAACAAGCAUCCAAACACAAACUCACAUUUAUACUAGUUAGAUGAUUAAUUAAAAGCAUAACUUUGCCAAAACUAUAGAAAUAAAUUUUAAAAGAAAACCUUUUACAAGAAAGCGUCUGACAGAUUAUUAUCCUUCUCAUUUUUAUCUUAGUAAUUGCUAGCAAAAAUAUAAUGCGCUUAAAAUGGCACAAAUGGUUUGUACAUUUUAUAAAAUUAACAAUCCUUACUGCGAAUCGAUGGAAAAAAUGUACCAAUAGAAAUAUGUUAACGUCAAUUGUCAAAAAAACUAUUCUGGUGGGUAAAUAUUCGCUGUUAAUCCAAGUAUUUAGUACAUACAUUCCAUAAAUCUUAAAGUUUUCAUCACAGAGCGAACGGGGCGGGACGGCGAACCUCGGCUGUGGGGACGUGACCAGUUGCAAUAUACUAGUUAGUAUGGAAUAUGUCACGUAGUCUUGACGCUUGACACUAUUCUCACAGAAUCGAGCGCCAUCCCGCCCUGUCCGAUACAUUGUUUAACGAAAGCUUAAUAGUACGGAACGCA